rnacentral:rRNA from 1 species
GUUCUGGGCCGCACGCGCGCUACACUGACGGAGCCAGCGAGUCUACCUUGGCCGAGAGGCCCGGGAAAUCUUGUGAAACUCCGUCGUGCUGGGGAUAGAGCAUUGCAAUUUUUGCUCUUCAACGAGGAAUUCCUAGUAAGCGCAAGUCAUCAGCUUGCGUUGAUUACGUCCCUGCCCUUUGUACACACCGCCCGUCGCUACUACCGAUUGAAUGGCUUAGUGAGGCAUCGGGAUGGAAAGAAAAGAGGGGCAACCCUCUCUUCUGUCUAAAACUUUGUCAAACUUGGUCAUUUAGAGGAAGUAAAAGUCGUAACAAGGUUUCCGUAGGUGAACCUGCGGAAGGAUCAUUAACAUUAAUUUACUACACACUGUUUUUUUACAACAAAAAAAAUCUAUCUAAAAACAAUUCUUUACAAGAAAUUCUUAAAACUUUCAACAACGGAUCUCUUGGUUCUCGCAUCGAUGAAGAACGCAGCGAAAUGCGAUACGUAAUACGAAUCGCAGCUCUCGGAAUCAUCGAAUCUUUGAACGCACAUUGCACCAUUGGGUAUUCCCAAUGGUAUGCUUGUUUGAGCGAAUACUUCCCUAAUCCUCACGGAUUGUAUUGUGUUUGCACGAAAAUAAUGACGACAGUACUCUACAAAACGGUACCGUCAGUACACUCAUUUUUUUUCCUCAAAUCAAGUAGGACUACCCGCUGAACUUAAGCAUAUCAAUAAGCGGAGGAAAAGAACCACAGGGAUUGCCUCAGUACGGCGAGUGAAGCGGCAAAAGCUCAAAUUUGAAAUCCCCCCGGGGAGUUGUAAUUUGAAAAUGCGUCUUGGAGGCGACCGUGUCUAUGUUCCUUGGGAACAGGACGUCCCAAAGGGGGGAAAAUCCCGUGGGGGGACGGGCCCCCGGCUCCUUUUAAGGGGCCUCUCCACCAAUCCAGUUUUU